UACGUAGGGGGCAAGCGUUGUCCGGAUUCAUUGGGCGUAAAGAGCGUGUAGGCGGCCAGGUAGGUCGGUUGUGAAAACUGGAGGCUCAACCUUCAGAGGUCGACCGAAACCAUCUGGCUAGAGUCCGGAAGAGGAGAGUGGAAUUCCUGGUGUAGCGGUGAAAUGCGCAGAUAUCAGGAAGAACACCCGUGGCGAAGGCGGCUCUCUGGGACGGUACUGACGCUGAGACGCGAAAGCGUGGGGAGCGAACAGG
rnacentral:rRNA from 1 species